CAGUCGCCACGGGAAUACCAGCACCUCGAGUGGUCAGGAGGUUUAUUGGGCCUAAAGCAUCCGUAGCCGGUUGCAUAAGUUUUCGGUUAAAUCUAUGCGCUUAACGUAUAGGCCGCCGAAAAUACUGUGCAGCUAGGGAGUGGGAGAGGUACACGGUACUCGAUAGGAAGGGGUAAAAUCCUUUGAUCUAUUGAUGACCACCUGUGGCGAAGGCGGUGUACCAGAACACGUUCGACGGUGAGGGAUGAAAGCUGGGGGAGCAAACCGGAUUAGAUACCCGCGUAGUCCCUGUCUCUUAUAA
rnacentral:rRNA from 1 species